AAAAAAAAAAAAAAAAAGAACGCUCCUGAUUGUUAAUUUUAAGAUCAUUUGAAUGUUAUCAUAAGAGAUACACAUUAAGUGUAGAAUCUAUGAAUCACAUUCAUUAAUCCAUCAUCCUGGUUUUAGUGAUUGUGGUAACGCAAUUGUGGAAGUAAAUUUGAAAAUACAUCAAAAAUAGGUUUCAAUCGGAGGCUAACAUAUCCUUGGUUACCUGAUGAUGUCAUUGAUUGGAAUAU